rnacentral:rRNA from 1 species
ACGGAAGGCAGCAGUGGGGAAUAUUGGGCAAUGGGCGCAAGCCUGACCCAGCAAUGCCGCGUGAAGGAAGAAGGCUUUCGGGUUGUAAACUUCUUUUAAGUGGGACGAAAAUGACGGUACCACAUGAAUAAGCCACGGCUAACUACGUGCCAGCAGCCGCGGUAAUACGUAGGUGGCAAGCGUUAUCCGGAUUUACUGGGUGUAAAGGGCGCGUAGGCGGGGAAGCAAGUCAGAUGUGAAAUCCAUGGGCUCAACCCAUGAACUGCAUUUGAAACUGUUUCUCUUGAGUGCUGGAGAGGUAGAUGGAAUUCCUAGUGUAGCGGUGAAAUGCGUAGAUAUUAGGAAGAACACCAGUGGCGAAGGCGAUCUACUGGACAGUAACUGACGCUGAGGCGCGAAAGCGUGGGGAGCAAACAGGAUUAGAUACCCUGGUA